rnacentral:rRNA from 1 species
AGAGUUUGAUCCUGGCUCAGGAUGAACGCUGACAGAAUGCUUAACACAUGCAAGUCGACUCGAGUCUUCGGACUUGGGUGGCGCACGGGUGAGUAACGCGUAAAGAACUUGCCUCUUAGACCGGGACAACAUCUGGAAACGGAUGCUAAUACCGGAUAUUAUGGUUUUUUCGCAUGGAGGAAUCAUGAAAGCUAGAUGCGCUAAGAGAGAGCUUUGCGUCCCAUUAGCUAGUUGGAGAGGUAACGGCUCACCAAGGCGAUGAUGGGUAGCCGGCCUGAGAGGGUGAACGGCCACAAGGGGACUGAGACACGGCCCUUACUCCUACGGGAGGCAGCAGUGGGGAAUAUUGGACAAUGGACCAAGAGUCUGAUCCAGCAAUUCUGUGUGCACGAUGAAGUUUUUCGGAAUGUAAAGUGCUUUCAGUUGGGAAGAAGAAAGUGACGGUACCAACAGAAGAAGCGACGGCUAAAUACGUGCCAGCAGCCGCGGUAAUACGUAUGUCGCAAGCGUUAUCCGGAUUUAUUGGGCGUAAAGCGCGUCUAGGUGGUUGCAUAAGUCUGAUGUGAAAAUGCGGGGCUCAACUCCGUAUUGCGUUGGAAACUGUGCGACUAGAGUACUGGAGAGGUAAGCGGAACUACAAGUGUAGAGGUGAAAUUCGUAGAUAUUUGUAGGAAUGCCGAUGGGGAAGCCAGCUUACUGGACAGAUACUGACGCUAAAGCGCGAAAGCGUGGGUAGCAAACAGGAUUAGAUACCCUGGUAGUCCACGCCGUAAACGAUGAUUACUAGGUGUUGGGGGUCGAACCUCAGCGCCCAAGCUAACGCGAUAAGUAAUCCGCCUGGGGAGUACGUACGCAAGUAUGAAACUCAAAGGAAUUGACGG